rnacentral:rRNA from 1 species
GGAGUUAGCCGGUGCUUCUUCUGUGAGUGAUGUCCUUCCUGCCGGUUAUUGACCCGCAGGCCUUCUUCCUCACUGAAAGUGCUUUACAACCCGAAGGCCUUCUUCACACACGCGGCAUGGCUGGAUCAGGGUUGCCCCCAUUGUCCAAUAUUCCCCACUGCUGCCUCCCGUAGGAGUCUGGGCCGUGUCUCAGUCCCAGUGUGGCUGAUCAUCCUCUCAGACCAGCUACGGAUCGUCGCCUUGGUGAGCCGUUACCUCACCAACCAGCUAAUCCGACAUAGGCUCAUCCGAUAGCGCGAGGCCCGAAGGUCCCCCGCUUUCCCCCGUAGGGCGUAUGCGGUAUUAGCCUGGGUUUCCCCAGGUUAUCCCCCACUACCGGGCAGAUUCCUAUGCAUUACUCACCCGUCCGCCGCUCGCCACCAGGGAGCAAGCUCCCCGUGCUGCCGCUCGACUUGCAUGUGUUAGGCCUGCCGCCAUCGUUCAAUCUGAGCCAUAAUCAAACUCUGA